rnacentral:misc_RNA from 1 species
GCUCCUACUUGCAGAGCUCGUUUUUCACCUUCUUUCAUCCCUCUUAAUCGAACCAGAGCACUAGAGCAAUGGUGUGGUUUCAGUGUGAAGAUUGCGGAGAGAACUUGAAGAAGCCUAAAUUACCUAAUCACUUCAGAAUUUGCUCAGCCAACAAGCUAUCAUGCAUUGAUUGCGGAGAGAUUUUCGGGCAGGAAAGCGUUCAGGGC